GGGUUGUGAGGUUAAGCGACUAAGCGUACACGGUGGAUGCCCUGGCAGUCAGAGGCGAUGAAGGGCGUGCUAAUCUGCGAUAAGCGCCGGUAAGGUGAUAUGAACCGUUAUAACCGGCGAUACCCGAAUGGGGAAACCCAGUGUGACUCGUCACACUAUCAUUAACUGAAUCCAUAGGUUAAUGAGGCGAACCGGGGGAACUGAAACAUCUAAGUACCCCGAGGAAAAGAAAUCAACCGAGAUUCCCCCAGUAGCGGCGAGCGAACGGGGAGGAGCCCAGAGCCUGAAUCAGCAUGUGUGUUAGUGGAAGCGUCUGGAAAGGCGCGCGAUACAGGGUGACAGCCCCGUACACAAAAGCGCAUGUGCUGUGAGCUCGAUGAGUAGGGCGGGACACGUGGUAUCCUGUCUGAAUAUGGGGGGACCAUCCUCCAAGGCUAAAUACUCCUGACUGACCGAUAGUGAACCAGUACCGUGAGGGAAAGGCGAAAAGAACCCCGGCGAGGGGAGUGAAAAAGAACCUGAAACCGUGUACGUACAAGCAGUGGGAGCACCCUUUGGGUGUGACUGCGUACCUUUUGUAUAAUGGGUCAGCGACUUAUAUUCUGUAGCAAGGUUAACCGAAUAGGGGAGCCGGAGGGAAACCGAGUCUUAAUUGGGCGUUAAGUUGCAGGGUAUAGACCCGAAACCCGGUGAUCUAGCCAUGGGCAGGUUGAAGGUUGGGUAACACUAACUGGAGGACCGAACCGACUAAUGUUGAAAAAUUAGCGGAUGACCUGUGGCUGGGGGUGAAAGGCCAAUCAAACCGGGAGAUAGCUGGUUCUCCCCGAAAGCUAUUUAGGUAGCGCCUCGUGAAUUCAUCUCCGGGGGUAGA
rnacentral:rRNA from 1 species